GAGCACCGCUGCAGGAGCUGUCCGGGAACCCCGAGGCCCGCGUCGCGGACUACUUCGACAUGGCGGCAGAGUCCGGCGCCAGCGGGUUCUUGGCGGCCGCGCUGUUCGCUCGACGAAAGAAUAAAAAUAAUACGAAGACCAAAUACAACGACGUAUUUGCCUUAUGGCAAAGAAGCCGGCAGCAGUUGGUGGCGCGAUGGACGCUGCGUGGCUGUAUGAGCACACACCAGGCAGCAGGCUCUAGCCGCGGCAGCAGGAAAACGGACGGCAACAUCCUGUCAUACAUGCAGGAUUCUGCAUUUGGAUAAAAGGAGUCCGGUAGAUGUCAACAAAGGAGUGAAAUAAGCAUCUGUACUCUCCUUAUUUUUGUGCAAAUGAAAGGCUUGCGGAGACUAUAUUUCCGUGGCCUAAUGGAACGGAAUCUGAUAAAUCGAUCUUGGUUACCAAUCUGUCCUAUGUAAUUAAUGAAGGACAUGGCAUUGGCAGGAGCUAGCCUACGCACAGUGUGCACGGUGAGCAAAUCCCUCUGUUUCUCAGCUACCAAAUAUUUCUUCUUUUGCUACUGAGUGAAUCAUCAGUUUUGUUUUGUUAUGGCUACAAGCACUCCUGGCAUCAGAAGAUGGCUAUAUUGGCGAAAAAGACUGGUGGUCUGUGUUUCACUUUUGGACAUCUAUGAGGAGUUUGCGGAACCAACGUGCUAGAAUGUGAUGGUCAAACUCAUCGCCUGUGAUUCAUGCUCGUCGUGAAAGGUGGACAAUGUGACCACGAGUGGCAACGAGUGCGAUAACCCGGGUGGGUUGCUUGGACCAUGCGAGGAUUUGUUUUCCCCGUUGCAACGCACGGGCAUAUGUGCUAGACGAUGACUAAUAAUAAUCUAUCCCUAAUUUUUUAAUAAUAAAAUACGGAUUGACUCCAUGAGUUUACUGUCACAAUACGCUUUUAUCCAAUCGUAAUACGUUUUUACGAUUCGUAUAGACAAAAUCGUAAUAUAAAUGAGGUGGUACUAAUAACGGAUCACACCACGAUUUCGUUAGUUGCCCAAUAAAAGCCACGAUCCUCUUCCUGUUUCCCACGCACGGGCGCACCAUCAGGCCACGAUUUCCUUCGUUGCCCAAAAAAAGCCACGAUCCCCUUCCUGUUUCCCACGCACGGGCGCACCCCUGACGCCGCCGCCUUCCUCCCGGAGUCCGCGGCCAAAUUCUACGCCGGGAGCAGCGGAUCCAUCUCUCCGACGCCUCCUCUCCCUCGAGUCUUGACCUCUUCGGCAGCCUUCCUCCCGUCCCAAGUUCAGGAGAUGCAUGAGGACGACGAUGGCGGCGAGGCGCCUCACGCGCGCGAACAUCGCCACCCUACACCCCGGUCGUGCGCGCUGCUCUGUGAGGUUUAAGCACCGCGCCCGCUGCGCUCCGCUGUCUCAUUGAGGAGUACCACAGCUGGCCCAUGCCAGCCGAGCGUUUCUCUCCCCGACUGCUCCUACGUUGACCUGCACACAUCCUCUGCUUGGCUAAGUCCCACCGCCUACAACCGUCACCAUCGUCAGAUCUGCUCCAAUAUGCGCGCCCUGGUCUUUACUUCCCUGACCCAGUGGCAUUGCCAUCGUCAGAUCAUGUUGCAGAAGGCUCUGCUUCUUUGUUGCUCCAGUGAUGGAUAUUGCUGAACUAAGCAAACCUCUAGGUGUAAGACACCAUCUGAACGAUUAUCUGCUUCAUAAUGUCCAUGUACACAACAAACAGUCUCAAUUUGCAGGUCCCAGUGAACUGCAGCGCCUCAAAAGCUGUCAAGCAGUUGGUUUCCAAGAUUAUUGUGCCAGCGGACCGUUCAUGUAGAGGAGUGAGAGCACCAGAAACAGCCUCAGUUUCCCCUUCCUUGGCAUCCGAGCACUGUCGGAGUUCAGUUCCCAGCAAGAACAACACUUGUCCCGAGCUAUUUUGAGUCACGACACGACGCCACUGGUCAUCUGGCAUGUGCUCGGGAGGAAGAAACAGUCCAUGUUCAGUUUAACAUAGCCAUCAGCUGACCUUUUUUUUUCAUUGCAGAGCACGAUCCUUGUUCCUGAUCGAGUGCAAGAUUGGCACUUGGCCCAUUUGUUGCUUUUCUUUGUCAUCAGUGGCAAGUGGCAACACACGCUUUAUCUCAGUAGGACAAUAGCUCUGAAUAAAAAUAACAGAUGCACCGAUCAUUUUCUUCAGGAGUUUUAGGCUCUGUGCUAUGGACUAUGGUGAGAGCUAAAAAACAUUCUUCUACGUUCUCUCGAGGUACAACGAUUACUACUACUGGCAGAACUAAUAAAAGGGGGAGGCCUCGAUGGAGGCGCCUGAGCGGAAUGAAGUGCUCAUAUGGGAUACUCCAUAACUUCAGUCCAUCAAAUAUCGGUAACAUAUUUCUAUCACACAAGAAAUUGCUAAUCUAUAUCCUUCAUUUUUUUAGAGAUGUGAUAAUACUUUUAGUCAUAAUGUGUUGCACUAAAAGUUCACUUGACUCCACGUAAAUAAUUUGACAGAUGAGAGAGGACAAGUUAUUCCUAAACAAAGUGUGGAAUUUGUGCAAUCAUGAAAUCUUUACUGACCAGGGUUCUGAACGUAGGGCCCAUUAGACAAAACAUGACUUAGAGUGUUAAAAUAUUUGGCUGCAUAUUCGUUAAGUCUGAAAAUGAGACAUAUUUAGGAGUUUCCAAAAGAGGCGCAACAUAAACAAACUUCAGAGCCGCCUCAAAGUAAAGGCAUGUACUGCAGGUGGAUUGUGGUCAGAACAUAUAAAAGAAGUUGAUAUAAUGGGUAAAUAAUGCUCAGAAAACAUUUAAAAAGAAAUGGGCAUCAACAACCUUCAGAUGAUUCGACAUAUGCUUUAAGUCUCGAGCUUCCAAGAGAAAAAUGCAACCAUACUAUUAUCCUGCCUAAUUGGACUUGCAGUCUCUGAAUUAUUGGAAAUUGCUUAUUUCAUACUGCCAUGUUGAUCGCCAAUUUCAACACUGGAUCACCUCAACUGUGCUUUUAUUUUUGAAGCAUCAGAUUUUACUGGAGUGGACUGGACCUCUGAUUUUCCUUCUUUCAGAUCGUCAUAAAUUAGGCUAUUUUUCGUGGCAACUCUGAGUUACAUCAACUGCUUCACAUUUUUUUUUCGCUCCUGCUUGUCAUGAGUACUGAGAAUAUGUGUUUAUCAACUUAGCGAUAAACCCACUUUUCUUGGUUGCAAGAAUAGCUUGCCAGUACUUUACAACAAUCUUAUUUGUUGUCCUGGUCACUUGGAAAGCAUGUUGUGUUCUCCAUGUGGUGAGGUUUUCCCACAAUUAGGAAAUAGAGCGGCAUGGAGGACUGGAAGGACGCGGAGGGGCACCGGGCCACCGGCAGUAGGGAGGGCGAGGAACAGCUCGAAGUGGGAUGCAUGCGUGCGUAGAGAGGGAGUUGCUUGCAUAUUUUGUACUUUUGGUGAUUUUUGUCAGGGAUAGUAACUUGAGUGAUUGCAGUAAACAUACAGAUUAUAGACUAACAUUUCUUCUUAAAUAUCUCGUUAAAGUUCUGUACUAAAGACUACAGGGCUGCACUUGGUCAUUCAACACUGAAGGUCAAUGUUUCACUUAGGCCACUUGGGUUCUGAACAUGCAAUAAAAGGAAGAAAACUUAGCAAGGGUUCCAGAUCUUGCUUCAAGAAAAAUGUUGACAAUAUGCUUUGACGCACCAUUAGCUCUGGCAGGAAAAAGAAUCUGAUGGAAUCGCAGGAUUUCUUCAAUCACAUCAUUAGUAGAUGGCAAAGCCUUGAGGCUACCACUGGGAAUGAAGCAAAAUCAUGAAGAUGACUGGUUAAGGAAAUAGCAAGACUUGCACCAUUGACUUUGCUUGCUAUUGGCAUGAAUUUAAAAUUCUGGUUUCAGUCUUUCAGUUGAUGCAGGACUCGAGUGUGAGAAAUUGACUCAGUAUAAUGACCCUAAGUCGAAGAAAUCAUCACAGUGAGGACGAGCUUGAGGUUGCAGUGGCGGAACCAAAAGUGAUGAUCACGAACCGAGUCUACAUAUAUGCAACCCACAAUUAAAAGUAUUGAAUUAGCAUUUCUAAUUUUUAAGUUCAAUUAGUGAUCAAUUUUAUUUGAUUUCAACUCAUAAGGUUGGUUGUACACUAUUUAUAAUCAUUACAUGUAUUAUGUUAUGUUAUCAGUGACUUGAUUUCAAGGCCGUAAUUUUAUUACCCAUUGCAACGAAAAUGUUGGCGAACAGAUAACAAAAGCUAUCCGGACUGAUGGCAGAAAAUUAUUAUG